UACGGGGGGGGGUAAGCGUUGUUCGGAAUUACUGGGCGUAAAGGGCUCGUAGGCGGCCAACUAAGUCAGACGUGAAAUCCCUCAGCUUAACUGGGGAACUGCGUCUGAUACUGGAUGGCUUGGAUCCGGAAGAGGGAUGCGGAAUUCCAGGUGUAGCGGUGAAAUGCGUAGAUAUCAGGAGGAACACCGGUGGCGAAGGCGGGUCUCUGGGCCGAUACUGACGCUGAGGCGCGAUAGCGUGGGGAGCAAACGGG
rnacentral:rRNA from 1 species